UCCUCCCUCUUUCUUCGUGCCUAAUACAUGCAAGUUGAGCGCUGAAGGUUGGUACUUGUACCGACUGGAUGAGCAGCGCACGGGUGAGUAACGCGUGGGUAAUCUGCCUUUGAGCGGGGGACAACAUUUGGAAACGAAUGCUAAUACCGCAUAAAAACUUUAAACACAAGUUUUAAGUUUGAAAGAUGCAAUUGCAUCACUCAAAGAUGAUCCCGCGUUGUAUUAGCUAGUUGGUGAGGUAAAGGCUCACCAAGGCGAUGAUACAUAGCCGACCUGAGAGGGUGAUCGGCCACAUUGGGACUGAGAAACGGCCCAAACUCCUACGGGAGGCAGCAGGAGGGGAGCUUCGGCAAUGGACGAAAGUCUGACCGAGCAACGCCGCGUGAGUGAAGAAGGGUUUCGGAUCGUAAAACUCGGUUGGUAGAGAAGAACGUUGGUGAGAGUGGAAAGCUCAUCAAGUGACGGUAACUACCCAGAAAGGGACGGCUAACUACGUG
rnacentral:rRNA from 1 species